AACGAACGCUGGCGGCAUGCCUAACACAUGCAAGUCGAACGCGUGUAGCAAUACACGAGUGGCGGACGGGUGAGUAACGCGUGGGAACCUGCCCAAUGGAAGGGAAUAACUGCGGGAAACUGCAGCUAAUACCCUAUGCUCCCUACGGGGGAAAGAUUUAUCGCCAUUGGAGGGCCCGCGUCGGAUUAGCUAGUUGGCGGGGUAACGGCCCACCAAGGCUACGAUCCGGUAGCUGGUCUGAGAGGAUGAUCAGCCACACUGGGACUGAGAUACGGCCCAGACUCCUACGGGAGGCAGC
rnacentral:rRNA from 1 species